UUUCAUCAUGACAUGUGUCAGGCUCCCCAUUUUAUCGGGCUAGAGCCAUCCCACCACGGUGGUGUCCCCAUCCCAGGUCCUUAGGUGCUGGGACCGUGCCCCCACCCCAAGCCUAGCUGAACUCUGAAUGCUAGGUUGCCUUUUCCAGCUAUCUCACUCUCCAGGCCUGCACAUCUGGAACCAUUCACAAUGUGGUGGUUGAAAUUUCCACUAAUUCAAAUGGAAUGCUAGGGAUGGAGGCCACGGGGAGGCCCUUGGCUUCCCUCGAGUCCAGGCAAGUCGCUCUGCUGGAAGAAGCGCAUGCGUCAACAAACGUCCUAGAAAGGGCUCCUCAGAGCAGAGCCCCGAACCUGGGGCAAUGGAGAAUGGAGAAGCUCAGCUCUGGAUACGGUGGCCCUGAGAGACCAAGCCUAUAACACAGAUAGCAAACUGCAACGUCCUCGCCCAUUUUCCAUGGUUCAUUGGUACGAACUAGAAUCCAGACACAUGACCGGCUUCGUCUGUUCAGUCACUGUGCCGAGGAAGGCCACAGAUAUCGGGGAAGGCAGCAAGGACACUGGGGAAGAAGCACACAAAAAAGAAUCAUCCUCCCAGCUUCCCAAUAAACACAGAAUGACCACUUUAUAUAAUCAUAAGUUCUUUCCAAACAGCAUACUUACCUGUUUGUAAAUGCAUGGAAUAAAAACCUAGAAAGGUACACACUGAGC